rnacentral:tRNA from 1 species
GGUCCAAUAGCUCAGCUGGAUAGAGCAGCGGUUUUCUAAACCGCAGGUCACAGGUUCGAGCCCUGUUUGGAUCA